AUAUAUAUAUAUAUAUAUAUAUAUAUGAAGUCUCCAAUGGCUAUAUCACUAGCAGUUUGAAUGUAUUUCACUUUUUUUUGCAUCAAAUGUUACAUAGGGGUAGAUUAGUCUAAUUUAUUAAAUUAUAAAGUUCAAAAAGCCCACUAAAAGGUCAAGUAACUAGCAGAUUGGUGUCAUGUUUGAAAUUUUGAAUAACAUGGAAGGCUUAGGGCCUGUUUGUUAACUGUUUUGCUUUGGUGUUUUUGUUACAGGGCUUCAUUGCAAGCCCAAAAACAUGUUUGGUAGCUAUUGUUUUGUUUUAAAUAGUCCUAAAACAUUAUUUUAAAUAGUAUUAAAUUUGGGCCUAAAAGUGAAACACCAAAAUGGUGUUUUUUGUUGUUUCAAUACUGUAACCCAAUAAAAAGCACUGUAGCGGAUGAAGUAAGUUGGGUCUAACACUGUAGCGGAUGAAGUAACUUUAAAAGGCAUUUGCAACAUUCGGCCCGAUAUUUUCUCUCUCCUCUGAAACCCUAGACUCUGGCGAUUUGGGAGGCGAUUUGGGAGGCAACGAAAAGGAAUCGCGAUAUUGUCUGUACAAGACGAUUCCAGCUUUAGAGCUUGAUUGUGCUAUUCGAGGACAGUUUUCCAUUCGUCAGAUUACCUCGGACUAGGCUUAUCUAUCCUUCCUCAGCGACCUGGACAGAUUGAAUGCGAUGGACCCAAUUACUUUGAGGUUGACGUCAACAUUCAUCGCUUCAGCUACAUAGCAAGGAAGGGACUCGACGCAUUCCGAGAAUACAGAUGUGAAGCGUGUUGAUACUUUUUUGAAAGUGAUGUGUGCAGUUAUGUAGAUGACGUGUCCUACUAUUGAAGCUUGUUCCAUGGAAGUGAAAUUCGUAUUGUUUGAAGUAUGUCUCCUAUAAGGAAAACAUAAGGAAAUAUCUUUUUAUUUGUUAAGCAUCUUUCUCUUCGUUUUUGAAUCCUAUUGUUGAAAUUUGUAAACAAUGAAGUGAAUUAUGUUUGAAUUUUGAAUUAUAUCUCCUGUUUAAUUUAAUCUACUCUUUAAUUUGUUUUUAAUUUCUUUAUCAUUUUUCCUACUACAGAAGAAUGAGUAUGAUUUGAAAAGCUUCCAUUCUAGCAGGGUGCUUUUUUUUUUUUAAUUUUUUUUGAUAUGUUAUGACUCCUUGAUAGAUGUU